rnacentral:rRNA from 1 species
AAAAACAUGGCCUUUUGUUAUUAUUUAAGGUCUGACCUGCUCAAUGAAAUUUUAAAUGGCCGCGGUAUUUUGACCGUGCAAAGGUAGCAUAAUCAUUAGUUUUUUAAUUGAAAGCUGGAAUGAAAGGUCGAAUAAGAAAAAAUCUGUCUCUUGGAAAUUUUAUUAGAAUUUUAUUUUUAAGUAAGAAAGCUUAAAUAAUAUUUAAAGACGAGAAGACCCUUUAGAGUUUUAUACAAAUUGGUUAAUUGAGUUUUUAGAAUAAAUUAUUUGAUUAGAAAUUUUGUAUUUGAUUGGGGUGAUUGUAAAAUUUAAUGAACUUUUAUUAUUUGAACCAUUAAUUUAUGUAUAAAUGAUCCAUUGAUAGUGAUUAUAAGAAUAAAUUCCCUAAGGGAUAACAGCGUUAUUUUUUUUGAGAGUUCAAAUCGAAAAAAGAGAUUGCCACCUCGAUGUUGGAUUAAAAUUAAAUUAUGGUGUAGCAGCUAUAACUUUAGGUCUGUUCGACCUUUAAAAUUUUACAUG